UGCGAUUUCUGCGACUUACCACCGUAUGAAAAAGUUACAUCUGUCAAUACAGAAAAUUGCAUCUCAACAAACCUGUCAUUGGCAAGUACCUGAACUACAUUUCAGUCACUCAGUAAAGUGAUAACUCAAAAUAUCAUUGUCAACAGAUCUGAAGAAAUUGCCACUGCGUCUUUAGACCGUUUUCGUCAGAGGAGAGACACAGUUCUGACUCUGAUUACUGGUUGCUGUACGUAUCUAUCCACAUCAAGGCUGUUGAGAGAGACUCGUGAAGAUUCAAGACAGCUCUUAGAGGAUUUGCAGUUUAAAAGUGAAAUAAGU